CUGGUGCAUAUCCCAGAACCUCAAAGGGUCUUCAGUAUGUGGUAUAUUGGGGUCACUGAGGUUCGCGCCUCAUUUUCACUUUUCUGAAGCAGUCACGUGGUUGAGCGCAGAACGAAGCUUCGGAUCACCAUGGUCAGGUGUUUAGGGUAGAACGGAAGAAGCAUAGAAGUUCUGCUUCAGAACGCACUGUAUUGUUUUUUUUGACACAUGCCUCGGAGCUUCGGUGUUAAGCUUAACAUGACUACCCCAGAGCAUCUUUAAACGGAUGUCAGACUUGUAUUCAGCAAUUGCAGAUGAAGAUCUGGACCACAUAGUGGAGGAUAUCCAGAGGAUCUAUCCAAACUCUGGAUACAGGAUGAUCCAUGGGCAUCUUCAGGCAAGAGGGCUUAGAAUCCAAACUUCAAGAGCACGAUGCUCUCUUCAGAGAGUGGACCCUGAAGGGUCAUGAAUAAGGGCUCUUUUAGCACCUAUGGUGAGGCACCGCCAAUACUCUGUUCCCUGCCCCAAUGCAAUGUGGCAUAUUGCUGGAAACCACAAACUGAUCAGGUGGAGGAUUGUGAUUCAUGGGGGCAUAGAUGGCUUCA